GGUGGUUCUCGGGUGAUCCACCCUGGAAUGAGGCUCCUUCCUCUCUGGUUCCAGGUGCGUCACCCGAGAAUUGCA
rfam:Myotis brandtii contig193417, whole genome shotgun sequence.